rnacentral:rRNA from 1 species
UACAGAGGUCUCAAGCGUUGUUCGGAUUCAUUGGGCGUAAAGGGGUGCGUAGGCGGCGCGGUAAGUCGGGUGUGAAAUCUUGGAGCUUAACUCCGAAACUGCAUUCGAUACUGCCGUGCUUGAGGACUGGAGAGGAGACUGGAAUUUACGGUGUAGCGGUGAAAUGCGUAGAUAUCGUAAGGAAGACCAGUGGCGAAGGCGGGUCUCGUGGACAGUUCCUGACGCUGAGGCACGAAGGCCAGGGGAGCAAACGGG